rnacentral:rRNA from 1 species
UACGUAGGGACCAAGCGUUGUUCGGAUUUAUUGGGCGUAAAGAGCUCGUAGGCGGCUUGUUGCGUCGACUGUGAAAACCCGCGGCUUAACCGCGGGCUUGCAGUUGAUACGGGCAGGCUAGAGUUCGGUAGGGGAGACUGGAAUUCCUGGUGUAGCGGUGAAAUGCGCAGAUAUCAGGAGGAACACCGGUGGCGAAGGCGGGUCUCUGGGCCGAUACUGACGCUGAGGAGCGAAAGCGUGGGGAGCGAACAGG